rnacentral:piRNA from 1 species
GGAAAAUGCAAAAACUCUUUUUGGAUGGGCA